rnacentral:rRNA from 1 species
UACGUAGGUGGCAAGCGUUGUCCGGAAUUAUUGGGCGUAAAGCGCGCGCAGGCGGUCCUUUAAGUCCGAUGUGAAAGCCCGGGGCUCACCCCCGGAAGUGCAUUGGAUACUGAAGGCUGGAGUACCGGAGAGGAGGGUGGAAUCCUGGUGUAGCGGUGAAAUGCGUAGAUAUCAGGAGGAACACCUGUGGCGAAGGCGGCAUCCUGGACCAACACUGACACUGAGGAGCGAAAGCCAGGGGAGCAAACGGG